rnacentral:snoRNA from 1 species
AAGACUAUACUUUCAGGGAUCAUUUCUAUAGUUUCUUACAAAAUAAUAAAUUUCUUAUAUUUCUUUCCAAUAACUAUGAGU